rnacentral:rRNA from 1 species
CUGAUCCGCAUGCCGCGUGUGUGAGAAGGCCUUCGGGUUGUAAAGCACUUUUGUCCGGAAAGAAAUGGCUCUGGUUAAUACCCGGAGUCGAUGACGGUACCGGAAGAAUAAGCACCGGCUAACUACGUGCCAUCAGCCGCGGUAAUACGUAUGGUGCGAGCGUUAAUCGGAAUUACUGGGCGUAAAGCGUGCGCAGGCGGUUUUGUAAGACAGGCGUGAAAUCCCCGGGCUCAACCUGGGAAUUGCGCUUGUGACUGCAAGGCUACAGUGUGUCAAAGGGGGGUAGAAUUCCACGUGUAGCAGUGAAAUGCGUAAAGAUGUGGAGGAAUACCGAUGGCGAAGGCAGCCCCCUGGGACAUGACUGACGCUCAUGCACGAAAGCGUGGGGAGCAAACA